CCUUAGAUAACUGCCUGAGAUGACUGCCUGAGAUGACUGCCCGAGAUGACUACUUUAGAUGACUGCCUGAGAUGACUGUCAAUUUACAUCCUGUGGACAAGUGCUGCAAGGCCAACGCCAUCCAGAAUAUGGAGUCCUAAUCAUUUUGUUCUAUUAUUGCUAGCCAUGCAACGAACUGCCAACGAUGACCUUCCCGGGGCAGAACAAAAGCUAUUCGGAGGCAUGUCAUUUAGUGUUAUCAGUUAACUGGACUUUGUGAGAGUUCUCUUGCAAAAUGUUUGCCAAGGUGGCGAUCGAAGGUGGACAGCAAGAUCGAAGCUCAGCAAGAUAGAAGAUUGUUCGAGGAAGAAGGAGUUCGCCGUUGACUAAAAGGUCUAUCUGAACAGCUAGUUGUCAAGAUGAAGGUGACUCGCCCGGCCAAAUUCAAAAUGGCGAUGCCAAAGAAAACCAUCCACGUGGACUGUUCGCGGACCUUUCUGAGCAAGAUUGUUGUGCUGUCUGGUCAAAGUUAAGUAUUUUACUUUGAUGUUUGUGUGCCUUCUGCUAAUUGUUGGCCAGAAAUAACAAAAAACCAUAUACAAUAUGAAAUAUUCUGCGUACAAGGUUAUCUAAAGUUUCGAGUUUAAUUCUGCCUGUAAUGAUAAUUUUUUAC